rnacentral:tRNA from 1 species
GGGAGAUUAGCUCAGUUGGUAGAGCUCAGCGCUCAUAACGCUCGUGGUCGUCAGUUCAAGUCCUUGUUAGU